rnacentral:rRNA from 1 species
GCUGCUAUCUGCAGUCGAGCGGACAGAAGGGAGCUUGCUCCCGGAUGUUAGCGGCGGACGGGUGAGUAACACGUGGGUAACCUGCCUGUAAGACUGGGAUAACUCCGGGAAACCGGAGCUAAUACCGGAUAGUUCCUUGAACCGCAUGGUUCAAGGAUGAAAGACGGUUUCGGCUGUCACUUACAGAUGGACCCGCGGCGCAUUAGCUAGUUGGUGAGGUAACGGCUCACCAAGGCGACGAUGCGUAGCCGACCUGAGAGGGUGAUCGGCCACACUGGGACUGAGACACGGCCCAGACUCCUACGGGAGGCAGCAGUAGGGAAUCUUCCGCAAUGGACGAAAGUCUGACGGAGCAACGCCGCGUGAGUGAUGAAGGUUUUCGGAUCGUAAAGCUCUGUUGUUAGGGAAGAACAAGUGCAAGAGUAACUGCUUGCACCUUGACGGUACCUAACCAGAAAGCCACGGCUAACUACGUGCCAGCAGCCGCGGUAAUACGUAGGUGGCAAGCGUUGUCCGGAAUUAUUGGGCGUAAAGGGCUCGCAGGCGGUUUCUUAAGUCUGAUGUGAAAGCCCCCGGCUCAACCGGGGAGGGUCAUUGGAAACUGGGAAACUUGAGUGCAGAAGAGGAGAGUGGAAUUCCACGUGUAGCGGUGAAAUGCGUAGAGAUGUGGAGGAACACCAGUGGCGAAGGCGACUCUCUGGUCUGUAACUGACGCUGAGGAGCGAAAGCGUGGGGAGCGAACAGGAUUAGAUACCCUGGUAGUCCACGCCGUAAACGAUGAGUGCUAAGUGUUAGGGGGUUUCCGCCCCCUUAGUGCUGCAGCUAAACGCAUUAAGCACUCCGCCUGGGGA